rnacentral:lncRNA from 1 species
AUGGUGGGCACUCAUCACAGCAGCCAGUCCGAAGCGGCAACCCAAACAGAGGAGAUGCUGCCUCUCUGGACUCAUGUGGGCACUCAGGUGGAUCCCCUGAGGGGUGAAGUGGCAGUCCAGACAGGUGACUGCGGGGAGCUCUGGAAUCUGGAGACCCACCUGGGUCCUGAGGGGAGAGAGAGCUGUCAUGGGUGCAGGUGUGCCCUCCUUAAGGAACUCCUUAAGCAGGUGGCUGGGCUGCAGCAAGAAAUUGGCAGCCUGAGGGGCUCCUGGAAGUCUUUGAGGGUGACAGAUAGGAGGUGUCAACCUGCCCCUGCUGAUGCCCAGCAGCCCCCUCCUAAGUCCCAGCAAGGGGUAGAAGCUGACACAGCUGAUCACAUGCAGUACAGAUGGCUUGACCACCCACAUGAGAAAAGGGGCUGGACCCUCGUCUCAGCUCGAAGCAGAAAGAGACGUUUGUCCCCGACACCCACGGUGUCACCAACCCCCACAGUGUCCCUGGGUAAUAGAUUUGAGGUUCUCAGGCAGGAAAAGGAAGAGGUUGAGGGUCUGGACAGUAGUCCGAACCCGGGAAGCAACCCUGAGAAGCGUGUCAAGACUGGGGGCAGUACUAAGCAUAGGGAUCGUGGCCAGACGGGGCACUGCAUCACAACCAGUGCCACAAAAAAAGAACGGAGAGUCUUAGUGAUCGGAGACUCCUUGCUGAGGGGCACUGAGGCUCCCAUUUGUCGCCCAGAUAAUCUAUCCAGAGAGGUGUGCUGUCUUCCUAGGGCACUUGUCAGAGACGUUAGGAAGGCUCUGCCACAGCUCAUUAAACUGGAGGACUACUAUCCUCUUGUUGUCAUUCAGGUUGGAUCCCGGGAAGCUGCAACUAGAAAAAUGAUGAAUAUUAAAAAGGACUUUGCAUCCCUAGGAAGGUUGUUGAAGGGAUCGGGGGUGCAAGUAGUGUUCUCUUCUGUCCUCCCGCCGGGUGACUGGGACCCAGAAAGAAGGACGAGAAUGGGACAGGUGAACGACUAG